rnacentral:rRNA from 1 species
UCUGGGCGGGAAACCUCGGGAACUGAGAAUAAUACCCGAUAGAACAUUAUGCCUGGAAUGGUUUAUGUUUCAAAUGAUUUAUCGCCAUAGGAUGGGACUGCGGCCUAUCAGUUUGUUGGUGAGGUAAUGGCCCACCAAGACUAUUACAGGUACGGGCUCUGAGAGGAGUGGCCCGGAGAUGGGUACUGAGACACGGACCCAGGCCCUAUGGGGCGCAGCAGGCGAGAAAACUUUGCAAUGUGCGAAAGCACGACAAGGUUAAUCCGAGUGGUUUCUGCUAAAGAAACCUUUUGUCAGUCCUAGAAACACUGAUGAAUAAGGGGUGGGCAAGUUCUGGUGUCAGCCGCCGCGGUAAAACCAGCACCUCAAGUGGUCAGGAUGAUUAUUGGGCCUAAAGCAUCCGUAGCUCGUUUUGUAAGUUUUCGGUUAAAUCCAUGCGCUUAACGUAUGGGCUGCCGGGAAUACUGCAUAACUAGGAAGUGGGAGAGGUAGACGGUACUCGGUAGGAAGGGGUAAAAUCCUUUGAUCUAUUGAUGACCACCUGUGGCGAAGGCGGUCUACCAGAACACGUUCGACGGUGAGGGAUGAAAGCUGGGGGAGCAAACCGGAUUAGAUACCCGGGUAGUCCCAGCUGUAAACUAUGCAAACUCAGUGAUGCAUUGGCUUGUGGCCAAUGCAGUGCUGCAGGGAAGCCGUUAAGUUUGCCGCCUGGGAAGUACGUACGCAAGUAUGAAACUUAAAGGAAUUGGCGGGGGAGCAC